GCACUGGUGCGGCUUCUCCCCCGAGUGGAUGAACAUGUGCUUGGUGUCGUUUUUCCUUGAGCUGAACGUCUUGCAACAGUGGCCGCACGCAUAGCUGAUGAUAUAAACUGGCUCAUUUGAUGCCAAGACUGACCAUCACCACCAUACCAAGGUCAUCACUGAUCAGAGGCCUAACCCAAGGAGGGGGUCAUGUGCAGACCCAGCUGUGGGGAGGAAAGAUGCUGCAGAGGAGACGGAUGCCCACAGAGGCCCCUGAGUGGAUACAAUGCUCACUAAGUGGGCUGACCCCACAUUGGACACCGCUGCAUCCAUGUCCAUCACACAACACAGCUGCCGUUUCUUCUGCCUGCUUAUGGGAAAGUCCCCUCUUCUCCUCCGUUUUCUUCUCUUCCUGCCCUAUCACACCGUGCACUUCUCCCUUUCCUUAAAGAACCACCAUCAACUUUAGGAGGAGGGAAAGGGGUGGCUCUGGCAGGAAAAGCCAGAAUCCCCUCUAGCCAGCAGAGAGAGAGAGGAAUGGCUGCAUGUUUUCUCCCCCAGUCCAAGGCACUGGGUCUUGGCUGGGUUGAAGGUUCCAAGCUGCUCUCCUGCUGUGUCGGUGAGUUCUGGUCAACCUGCAACCUCCUGAUAUGGCCAUUGCAGUUCAUCGAGUCUUCAGGGACUCCCCAUGGCCUGGAGUACUUUGCCUUGCUUACACGGGAGAGGAGAAUGGAUUUAUAGAGAACAUCAUCUAAAUCCAACUUGACCAUUGUGUGGCCACACUUGCUAGAUUGCUAUAGUCUAAAUCUAGCAUUGUAGAAAGACGGGGGAGCUUGGAGCUGCACAAACCCAGGUCUGGAACUGGCUCCUUACCUUGGAAGGUGAAUGAUCCUGCCAGGACUCUUAGCCUCCCUGGGUCUCAAUUUCUUUAUCUGUUUCAUGGGAAUGAGGAUCUCUGCUGGGUGGUUGGGUGAUGUGGGGGCUGUGUGAAAACAGCUUGUCAAUACAAGCCAAAAUAGAAAUAUUUCUCCACAGAGUAUGAAGGUCAAAUGAGAGAAUACAUUUAAAUUAAAUGGAAAAUUAAAAUGGUAAAAAAUGCAAAGCUGUAUUGAAAGUUCCGAGCUUCUCUAUAAGGAGCUUUUUGACUAUGUAAGAAUCCUGUACUCGUUCCCCCUAAAUAUAAAAAAAAGUUGAAGGAGGCAGAAGGGAGAGUGAUGCACGAUGGGCAAGGACUUCACCUGCUGUUGCUGGCUUUGAGGAUGGAGGAAGGAGGCCACAAACCUAGAAGCUGGAGCCCCUAGAAGCUAGAAAAGGCAGGGACCCGAUUCUUUCCUUGAGCCUCCAGAAGGGACACAGCCCCGCCAGCACCUUGACUUUAGCCUGGUGAGAUCCUCUUAGGACUUUUGGCAAUCAGAACUAUAAGACAGAAAUGGAAGCCACUGAGUCUGUAGCUGUUUGUUGCAGCAGCAAUAGAAAACUAAUGCAGGGCCCAAGAAAUCACUGGUGAUGAGAUCGGGAAAGUGGGCUCAGGAGGUCUGGAUCUGUGAUGAGAUGGGGAAAGUGGGCUCAAGAGGUCUGGAUCUGUGGUGAGAUGGGGGAAGUGGGCUCAGGAGGUCUGGAUCUGUGAUGAGAUGGGGAAAGUGGGCUCAGGAGGUCUGGAUCUGUGAUGAGAUGGGGAAAGUGGGCUCAGGAGGUCUGGAUCUGUGAUGAGAUGGGGGAAGUGGGCUCAGGAGGUCUGGAUCUGUGAUGAGAUGGGGGAAGUGGGCUCAGGAGGUCUGGAUCUGUGAUGAGAUGGGGGAAGUGGGCUCAGGAGGUCUGGAUCUGUGAUGAGAUGGGGAAAGUGGGCUCAGGAGGUCUGGAUCUGUGAUGAGAUGGGGGAAGUGGGCUCAGGAGGUCUGGAUCUGUGAUGAGAUGGGGAAAGUGGGCUCAGGAGGUCUGGAUCUGUGAUGAGAUCGGGAAAGUGGGCUCAAGAGGUCUGGAUCUGUGGUGAGAUGGGGGAAGUGGGCUCAGGAGGUCUGGAUCUGUGAUGAGAUGGGGAAAGUGGGCUCAGGAGGUCUGGAUCUGUGAUGAGAUGGGGAAAGUGGGCUCAGGAGGUCUGGAUCUGGGGUGGGGAUCUGGAGUGGAAGGGGAAUUCAUUUGUUCAUUGUCUAUCCUUUUGUAUUGAUUGAAUUUUUUAUAUAUAUAUGUGAAUUUUCACAAUAAAAUUUUUUUCCAAAAUAAAAUAAACAAAAGGGGCUUUUUGCAACCCAAUUCCUAUCUAUGUCUGAGUCCACUUGUAUUGCAUGGGUCUUUCUGCUAACGUCCUUAUAUUUGGGUGACAAUCUGAAUGUCAGCGACCAAUCAGAGCAGAGGCAGACUUUGGAGUGGGCAGGGCAUCCUGAGGGCCCUGAUUCCUGCCAUGAGACGUAACCCUUUAGGUGCCAGACCAUGGGGAGGUCCAGGGGUUGCAG
rnacentral:lncRNA from 1 species